CAACCAUAAAAUUGCCAUUGAAACUGGGAGACUUGAGUAUGUUUGAGGUAGGCGGAAUGCGUGGUGUAGCGGUGAAAUGCAUAGAUAUCACGCAGAACUCCGAUUGCGAAGGCAGCUUGCCAAGCCAUAACUGACACUGAAGCACGAAAGCGUGGGUAUCAAACAGGAUUAGAUACCCUGGUAGUCCACGCAGUAAACGAUGAUUACUAGGAGUUUGCGAUAUAAUGUAGGCUCUACAGCGAAAGCGUUAAGUAAUCCACCUGGGGAGUACGCCGGCAACGGUGAAACUCAAAGGAAUUGACGGGGGCCCGCACAAGCGGAGGAACAUGUGGUUUAAUUCGAUGAUACGCGAGGAACCUUACCCGGGUUUGAACGCAGUCUGACCGCCGAUGAAAGUCGGCUUCUAGCAAUAGCGGAUUGCGAGGUGCUGCAUGGUUGUCGUCAGCUCGUGCCGUGAGGUGUCGGCUUAAGUGCCAUAACGAGCGCAACCCUUGCCGUUAGUUACUAACAAGUAAAGUUGGGGACUCUAGCGGGACUGCCAGCGUAAGCUGUGAGGAAGGCGGGGAUGACGUCAAAUCAGCACGGCCCUUACAUCCGGGGCGACACACGUGUUACAAUGGCGUGGACAAAGAGCAGCCACUUGGCGACAAGGAGCUAAUCUCCAAACCACGUCUCAGUUCGGAUCGGAGUCUGCAACUCGACUCCGUGAAGCUGGAUUCGCUAGUAAUCGCGCAUCAGCCAUGGCGCGGUGAAUACGUUCCCGGGCCUUGUACACACCGCCCGUCAAGCCAUGGGAGCNNNNNNNNCUGAAGUCCGUAACCGCGAGGAUCGGCCUAGGGUAAAACUGGUGACUGGGGAUGAGUCGUAACAAGGUAACCA
rnacentral:rRNA from 1 species